AAUCCAUAGGUUAAUGAGGCGAACCGGGGGAACUGAAACAUCUAAGUACCCCGAGGAAAAGAAAUCAACCGAGAUUCCCCCAGUAGCGGCGAGCGAACGGGGAGGAGCCCAGAGCCUGAAUCAGCAUGUGUGUUAGUGGAAGCGUCUGGAAAGGCGCGCGAUACAGGGUGACAGCCCCGUACACAAAAGCGCAUGUGCUGUGAGCUCGAUGAGUAGGGCGGGACACGUGGUAUCCUGUCUGAAUAUGGGGGGACCAUCCUCCAAGGCUAAAUACUCCUGACUGACCGAUAGUGAACCAGUACCGUGAGGGAAAGGCGAAAAGAACCCCGGCGAGGGGAGUGAAAAAGAACCUGAAACCGUGUACGUACAAGCAGUGGGAGCACCCUUCGGGGUGUGACUGCGUACCUUUUGUAUAAUGGGUCAGCGACUUAUAUUCUGUAGCAAGGUUAACCGUAUAGGGGAGCCGGAGGGAAACCGAGUCUUAACCGGGCGUUAAGUUGCAGGGUAUAGACCCGAAACCCGGUGAUCUAGCCAUGGGCAGGUUGAAGGUUGGGUAACACUAACUGGAGGACCGAACCGACUAAUGUUGAAAAAUUAGCGGAUGACCUGUGGCUGGGGGUGAAAGGCCAAUCAAACCGGGAGAUAGCUGGUUCUCCCCGAAAGCUAUUUAGGUAGCGCCUCGUGAAUUCAUCUCCGGGGGUAGAGCACUGUUUCGGCUAGGGGGCCAUCCCGGCUUACCAACCCGAUGCAAACUGCGAAUACCGGAGAAUGUUAUCACGGGAGACACACGGCGGGUGCUAACGUCCGUCGUGAAGAGGGAAACAACCCAGACCGCCAGCUAAGGUCCCAAAGUCAUGGUUAAGUGGGAAACGAUGUGGGAAGGCCCAGACAGCCAGGAUGUUGGCUUAGAAGCAGCCAUCAUUUAAAGAAAGCGUAAUAGCUCACUGGUCGAGUCGGCCUGCGCGGAAGAUGUAACGGGGCUAAACCAUGCACCGAAGCUGCGGCAGCGAACGUAUCACCCAAGACAACUUUACGGAGUUGACGAUUGACGGAGCGAAGCGACGUCAAAGCGUUCAUUAAAGUCGAGUUGGCUUAGGGAUACGUUCGUUGGGUAGGGGAGCGUUCUGUAAGCCUGUGAAGGUGUGUCGUGAGGCAUGCUGGAGGUAUCAGAAGUGCGAAUGCUGACAUAAGUAACGAUAAAGCGGGUGAAAAGCCCGCUCGCCGGAAGACCAAGGGUUCCUGUCCAACGUUAAUCGGGGCAGGGUGAGUCGACCCCUAAGGCGAGGCCGAAAGGCGUAGUCGAUGGGAAACGGGUUAAUAUUCCCGUACUUGGUGUUACUGCGAAGGGGGGACGGAGAAGGCUAUGUUGGCCGGGCGACGGUUGUCCCGGUUUAAGCGUGUAGGUGUGUGUUCCAGGUAAAUCCGGUUCACUUUAACACUGAGGCGUGACGACGAGGCACUACGGUGCUGAAGCAACAAAUGCCCUGCUUCCAGGAAAA
rnacentral:rRNA from 1 species